rnacentral:RNase_P_RNA from 1 species
AAGGGUGGAGGAUCGCUUUCGUUUUAUGACGGGAGAGGAAAGUCCGAACACCACAGGACGCGAUGCUGCGUAACCUCGGUUCCGCCGGGGAUACAUGCAGGCGGCGGUUUCGGAAGGAACCGUCGACGGACAGUGCCACAGAAAACAAACCGCCCCGGUUCGCCGGAGCAAGGGUGAAAAGGUGGGGUAAGAGCCCACCGCGCCACGCGCAAGCAAGGCGGCACGGUAAACCCCAUCGGGUGCAAGGCCAAAUAGGGGGCCAGGGACGGUCCGUCCCGCGAUCGGAAACGAUCACGGCUCCGGGUAGGGUCGCAACAGAUAAAUGAUCCUCUCCACCGCGUGCGGUGUAGACAAAAUUCGGCUUACAACCCUUC